rnacentral:rRNA from 1 species
CAGAAUCCNGCCUAGACGGAACGAUAUCUGGGCGCCGAGGACUCUCGGCUGGCCUCGCGUAGCCCGGCGGGCGACCGUCGGGUGCGGAGGGCCGUUCGUGACUGGGCCGGGGGGUCGCCGAAAGAUGGCGGCCCCCCUCCGGGCGCGCACUUCAUGUUUGUGAACAACUUGGCGCCAAAUGACUCGNAAACGACCUGAUUCUGGGUCAGGGUCUCGUAAGUAGUCUAGUAGCGGCUGUAUGACUGCGAUCG